CCCCCUACGUCUCUGUCUUCCUCUCUCUCUCUCCUCUUCUCUUAUCUUCUCGCCCAAAUCGGGAGUUCCGGAAAUCUCCAUCGCCGUCGUCCGAUUCGCCUGCCGUCGCUGCCAGACGCCGGGAAGACGAAACGCCGUGGCUGCUGUACCGGUCAGUCGAACAGCAACGCGCCGCCGCUCCGUCGCCGCCUCUCAGCGGCAGGCUGCUGCUGCCGCUCGUCGGGAAGAUGCUGCUGUCGCCGCCGGGACGCGCUGCGGUCGCCGCCGUCGGCAAUGGUUCGUUACAGCCGUCUUCAGCCGAGGCCCAGGGUCGUCGCUGCUGCUGUCGGCUUCUCCGCCGGUUCCGUCGCCCCGAUUUACUCCGAACAGGCCCGCAACCAACCCGAUUUCAACCGAACAGAUCGGUUCUCAUUCAAAAUUACGGAGGAUGAAUAUCUCAUUACGGAGGAGGAAGAUCUUUGCAGAAUCUUUAAUUAAAAAAUAAUUAAAGCCGAUUGGUGACCAAAUCAACCGGGAAAAUAAAUUAGCUUGGUUUAAUUCACGGUCCUUUGUAUUUUAUUUUAAAUUGUACAGUCAACAAUUCGUUUAUCACGGACUGGACUUUUAUAUUAAUUAUUUAAUUUAUCGGAUCCAACA